rnacentral:rRNA from 1 species
UACGUAGGGUGCGAGCGUUGUCCGGAAUUAUUGGGCGUAAAGAGCUCGUAGGUGGUUUGUCGCGUCGGAUGUGAAAACCCGGGGCUUAACUCCGGGCCUGCAUUCGAUACGGGCUGACUAGAGUUCGGUAGGGGAGACUGGAAUUCCUGGUGUAGCGGUGAAAUGCGCAGAUAUCAGGAGGAACACCGGUGGCGAAGGCGGGUCUCUGGGCCGAUACUGACGCUGAGGAGCGAAAGCGUGGGGAG